rnacentral:rRNA from 1 species
AUGAACGCUGGCGGCGUGCCUAAUACAUGCAAGUCGAGCGAACGGACGAGAAGCUUGCUUCUCUGAUGUUAGCGGCGGACGGGUGAGUAACACGUGGAUAACCUACCUAUAAGACUGGGAUAACUUCGGGAAACCGUAGCUAAUACCGGAUAAUAUUUUGAACCGCAUGGUUCAAAAGUGAAAGACGGUCUUGCUGUCACUUAUAGAUGGAUCCGCGCUGCAUUAGCUAGUUGGUAAGGUAACGGCUUACCAAGGCAACGAUGCAUAGCCGACCUGAGAGGGUAGUCGGCCACACUGGACCUGAGACACGGUCCAGACUCCUACGGGGGGCAGCAGUAGGGAAUCUUCCGCAAUGGGCGAAAGCCUGACGGAGCAACGCCGCGUGAGUGAUGAAGGUCUUCGGAUCGUAAAACUCUGUUAUUAGGGAAGAACAUAUGUGUAAGUAACUGUGCACAUCUUGACGGUACCUAAUCAGAAAGCCACGGCUAACUACGU